CAUGUGUGUGAUUAUCUGUCACAAUUUCGUUUUCUUUACAGCAGCCCCUUUGCUCAGUUGAAUGUCACUUCUCCGUGUCUCUUCCUAUUCCUGGUGUCUGCUCACUUCCUUCUGCAUCCACCUCCUCAUAGCCAUGGCCAGUGUUCCAUGAGGAACCUCUCCGGGAAUCCUGCAAUUUCGAAAAGAAGAGAAAACAUGAAAUAUGAAUAACUCCUCAUGAAGUCGCUAAGUUAAAUACUUGUGGAUUCCUAAUGAGUAAUGUAAGGGAUCUGAGACCGUCUGGAACGUCCCAAAGCCAUUUUUGGAGCUGAUAUCUGUGGAGCAAUCACAUCUCCUGUGAAUCUAUUUCGGUGUCGCUCUCGGAAAAGCACGCCGGAAUGAAGAAACCGUGAAUCUAAUCGAGUUUAUCAAUUGGUGUUAUUAAGUGAGCUUGUAGGAAACUACAGGAAAGAAAAUAAAACUUUUCCCUACAGAAUGUUAGUAUUUAGUGUCAUAGCGACCACUAACCUGCUCAUUUGUAAUUUGGCUUCUCCUUUGACUUACUUUUUAAAUUUGUGCAAGAAUUGACGGGAUGAGCACUGGGUGUUAUUCUGUAUGUUGGCAAAUUGAACACCAAUAAAACAUAAAUUUAUAAAAAAAAUAAAAAAAUAAAUUUGUGCAGGAAGACUUUGAAGAAUCACUUGGCUUAUGGCCCAUUUUAAUGCCGACGUGGCAAAACAGUUAUCUGCAAAAUUGGGGGUGACUGGGUGACGGGCACUGAGGUAGACACUUGACGGGAUGAGCACUGGGUGUUCUUCUAUAUGUUGGCAAAUUGAACACCAAUAAAAAAUAAAUUUAAAUUAAAAAAAAAGUUAUUUCACCACAUGUCCUAAAGUUUAUCUCUAUAAAUGCCCUGACUUUGCAUUUUUCACGGGCCGUAUUCUAAAGGAAGGCGUUUUGGCAUUAAUGAAACCUGCCUUUGCGAAACCGUAACACGAUUGAUUUGUAUAUACGUGCAUAGAGUAUUUAUACAGAAAUGGGCCUCGGGACCAAUGAGUUCCUACUCAGAGCCUCGCGGGAUGUUAUAAAUACGCUAUCAUUAAUGAUGGGGAUUUUUGGGGAACCU
rnacentral:lncRNA from 1 species